AGCGAACGCUGGCGGCAGGCUUAACACAUGCAAGUCGAGCGGGCAUCUUCGGAUGUCAGCGGCAGACGGGUGAGUAACACGUGGGAACGUACCCUUCGGUUCGGAACAACUCUGGGAAACUGGAGCUAAUACCGGAUACGCCCUUAUGGGGAAAGGUUUACUGCCGAAGGAUCGGCCCGCGUCCGAUUAGCUAGUUGGUGGGGUAACGGCCUACCAAGGCGACGAUCAGUAGCUGGUCUGAGAGGAUGAUCAGCCACACUGGGACUGAGACACGGCCCAGACUCCUACGGGAGGCAGCAGUGGGGAAUAUUGGACAAUGGGCGCAAGCCUGAUCCAGCCAUGCCGCGUGAGUGAUGAAGGCCUUAGGGUUGUAAAGCUCUUUUGUCCGGGACGAUAAUGACGGUACCGGAAGAAUAAGCCCCGGCUAACUUCGUG
rnacentral:rRNA from 1 species